rnacentral:tRNA from 1 species
GUCUCUGUAGCUCAGUUGGUAGAGCAUAGUGUUUGCAACGCCAGGGUUGUGGGUUUGAUUCCCACGGGGGGCC